GAUCAAGCAAUCAAGGGCGCACGGUGGAUGCCUUGGCACCGAGAGGCGAUGAAGGACGUGGUAAGCUGCGAUAAGCCUGGGGGAGCUGCACACUAGCUGUGAUCCCAGGAUCUCCGAAUGGGGCAACCCGGUCCGCCGUAAGGCGGAUCACCCGUCGCAAGACGGGAGCGAACCCGGGGAACUGAAACAUCUAAUUACCCGGUGGAAGAGAAAGCAACCGCGAUUCCCCUAGUAGCGGCGAGCGAACGGGGAACAGCCCAAACCGUCGGAGCUUGCUCUGGCGGGGUUGUGGGACCGCGACAUGGGAGUACGAGACCAGAUCGAAGUGGCCUGGAACGGCCCGCCACAGACGGUGACAGCCCGGUAGAUAGACGUCUACGACCCCUAGCGGUAUCCCGAGUACCGUGGGACACGUGCAAUCCUGCGGGAAGCUGGGGGGACCACCCUCCAAGGCUAAAUACUCCUCGGUGACCGAUAGUGCACUAGUACCGUGAGGGAAAGGUGAAAAGAACGCCUGGUGGCGAGUGAAAUAGAACCUGAAACCGUGUGCCUACAAGCGGUCGGAGGGGGUGCGUACCUUCGGGUACGUGGCUCCUGACGGCGUGCCUUUUGCAUUAUGAUCCGGCGAGUUGCUCGUCAGCAGCUGGUUAAGGCCCUCAGGGCCGGAGCCGUAGCGAAAGCGAGUCUGAAUAGGGCGAUGACGUUGCUGGCGGCAGACCCGAAGCCGUGGCGAUCUACCCUUGGGCAGGUUGAAGCGGCCGUAACAGGUCGUGGAGGACCGAACCGUUGUGGGUUGAAAACCGCUCGGAUGACCUGAGGGUAGGGGUGAAAGGCCAAACAAGCUCGGAGAUAGCUGGUUCUCCCCGAAACGUAUUUUGGUACGGCCUCUGGAAUUGAGUCCGCAGGAGGUAGAGCACUGGAUGGGCUCGGGCGGCGCAUAGCCGUACCUCCCCCAACCAAACUCCGAAUGCCUGUUGGAUGCUGCCAGGGAGACAGUCGGUCGGCGAUAAUGUCGGCUGGCGAGAGGGUAAGAACCCAGACCGCCUGCUAAGGCCCCCAAGUAACAGCUCAGUGUAUCGAAGGAUGUGGACAUGCUGAGACAACUGGGAGGUUGGCUUAGAAGCAGCCAUUCCUUUAAAGAGUGCGUAAUAGCUCACCAGUCCAGCGUGGCCGCGCCGAAAAUGGUCGGGACUUGAAGCUGUUCGCCGAAGCAGCGGACUUCAUGCUCUGCAUGGAGUGGUAGGGGAGCGUUCCCGGAGCGUCGAAGCUGGGGCGAAAGCCUUCCGGUGGAGCGACGGGAAGUGAGGAUGCCGGAACGAGUACGCGAUAAACAGGGUGAAAACCCCUGUCACCGAAAGCCUAAGGGUUCCUGAGCCAUGUCGAUCAACUCAGGGUUAGUCGGUCCCUAAGGCGAGGCCGAAAGGCGUAGCCGAUGGGAAACGGGUCAAUAUUCCCGUACCGGUGGCAGUCCGUUUGAAUCUGAGGAGGGACGCAGAAGCGAGUGGUCCGUCGGAUGGUGGAAUAUCCGAUGCAAGGUGGUAGGCGUUCCCGGGUAGGCAAAUCCGCCCGGGGUAGCCGAGAACCGAUGCCGAAGGGGUCUUCGGACCCCGCCAAGGGAUCGUGAUGCACGCUGCCGAGAAAAGCUUCGCAGAUGAGGGCUGUCAGCGACCGUACCGCAAACCGACACAGGUAGGCGAGGCGAGAAGCCUAAGGUGCUCGAGUGAGCUGUGGAGAAGGAACUCGGCAAAAUGACUCCGUAACUUCGGGAGAAGGGGUGCCGGUUUUACGUGCGUGACUUCGCGUCGCAAGCGGAAGCCGGCCGCAGAGAAUCGGGCCAAGCGACUGUUUAGCAAAAACACAGGUGUCUGCUAAGGCGUAAUCCAAGCCGACGUAUAGGCACUGACGCCUGCCCGGUGCCGGAAGGUUAAGGGGAGGGGUUAGCCCGCUUCGGUGGGCGAAGCUCUGAUCCGAAGCCCCGGUAAACGGCGGCCGUAACUAUAACGGUCCUAAGGUAGCGAAAUUCCUUGUCGGGUAAGUUCCGACCUGCACGAAUGGCGUAACGACUUGGCCACUGUCUCCUCCACACGCUCGGCGAAACUGUAGUAUCGGUGAGGAUUCCGAUUACCCGCCACAGGACAAAAAGACCCCGUGCACCUUUACUACAAUCUGCCAUUGGACGUCGGCAUGACCUGCGUAGCAUAGGUGGGAGCCUAUGAACCCUCGGUUUCGGCUGGGGGGGAGGCAACAGUGAAAUACCACCCUUGUUUUGUUAACGCCCUCACUCGGCCGGUCACACCGGCGAGGACCGUGGCAGAUGGGUAGUUUGACUGGGGCGGUCGCCUCCUAAAGAGUAGCGGAGGCGCGCAAUGGUGCCCUCAGUGCGGUCGGUAAUCGCACGAAGAGCGCAAAGGCAUAAGGGCGCCUGACAGCGAGAGGGACACCUCGAGCUGGGACGAAAGUCGGCCUUAGUGAUCCGGUGGUCCCGUGUGGACGGGCCAUCGCUCAACGGAUAAAAGGUACGCCGGGGAUAACAGGCUUAUCGCGCCCGAGAGUUCACAUCGACGGCGCGGUUUGGCACCUCGAUGUCGGCUUAUCACAUCCUGGGGCUGGAGAAGGUCCCAAGGGUCCGGCUGUUCGCCGGUUAAAGUGGUACAUGAGCUGGGUUCAGAACGUCGUGAGACAGUUCGGUCUGUAUCCGUGGUGGGCGUUGGAGUGUUGAGGGGGCCCGACCCUAGUACGAGAGGACCGGGUUGGACUGACCGCUCGUGCCCCGGCUGUCACGCCAGUGGCAGCGCCGGUUAGCGAUGUCGGGUAGGGAUAACCGCUGAAAGCAUCUAAGUGGGAAGCCCGCCCCAAGAUGAACACUCCUGGACCGUAAGGUCCCUAAAGGGCCGUGGUAGACGACCACGUUGAUAGGCGGCAGGUGUAAGGUGUGCAAGCACUUCAGCCGAGCCGUACUAAUCGCCCGUGUAGCUUGAUCUC
rnacentral:rRNA from 1 species